rnacentral:rRNA from 1 species
UACGUAGGGGGCUAGCGUUGGCCGGAAUCAUUGGGCGUAAAGAGCGUGUAGGCGGCCCGGUAAGUCCGCUGUAAAAGUCAAAGGCUCAACCUUUGAAUGUCAGUGGAUACUGCCGGGCUAGAGUCCGGAAGAGGCGAGUGGAACUCCUGGUGUAGCGGUGGAAUGCGCAGAUAUCAGGAGGAACACCGGUGGCGAAGGCGGGUCUCUGGGCAACAACUGACGCUGAGGAGCGAAAGCGUGGGGAGCAAACAGG